UACGUAGGGCGCAAGCGUUGUCCGGAAUUAUUGGGCGUAAAGAGCUCGUAGGCGGUUUGUCGCGUCUGCUGUGAAAACCUAAGGCUCAACCUUGGGCUUGCAGUGGGUACGGGCAGACUAGAGUGCGGUAGGGGUGACUGGAAUUCCUGGUGUAGCGGUGGAAUGCGCAGAUAUCGGAAGGAACGCCGGUGGCGAAAGCGAUCGACUGGACCUCUUCUGACGGCUG
rnacentral:rRNA from 1 species